rnacentral:rRNA from 1 species
UACGUAGGGGGCAAGCGUUGUCCGGAUUUAUUGGGCGUAAAGAGCGUGUAGGCGGCCUGAAAGGUCAGCUGUGAAAACUCGAGGCUUAGCCUCGAGACGUCGGUUGAAACCAUCUGGCUAGAGUCCGGAAGAGGAGUGUGGAAUUCCCGGUGUAGCGGUGAAAUGCGCAGAUAUCGGGAAGAACACCCGUGGCGAAGGCGGCACUCUGGACCACAACUGACGCUGAGGCGCGAAAGCCAGGGGAGCAAACGGG